AGUUUAGUCCUGGCCAUUUCUACAUAACCCCCCAGCAAGCUGAAUUUCCAUUUCUAUAGGAAAAAAAAAGGUAAGUAGUGAGGAAGAAGUCUUCUUGUCAGCUUGAGCUUUAAAAAGAAGGAGGAAGUGUGGGGUGGAUGGAUGGUUUGCAGCCAGGCGUAUGUGGAGGGGAGGAAACGAGACUGAGUAAGAAAUGAAGUGCUGACACAGAGAGCCCUCCGUGGCCUCCGGAUGACCUGUGAAGCGCACCAGUUCCUGUAACAAACACCGCGGAAUGUGCUCACACGAGGAGCGAGUUGUGGAGAGGAGCAUGGGGUUGAGUGAAGUCAGCAGAAUUAAGAGUGGUGCCAACCGUCCGUCCAUGCCACUGUCCAUCCCGGAAACCCUGGGGAGAUCAGGCAGAGAGGAUAGAAGGAAGCGGCGACUGAAUUCCCUUGAUUGCUUGCUAUGCCCACAGUAACAAAUGGACUUUGUCUCAAGAAUGAAGAAUGGACUCCAUCAGGGAAAUCAGCUCUGGGCAGGACUAGAGAAUGGCAGCGGAAAUAUCCCCAGAAGCAUGCCAUAUCCCCAGCUCAGAGAUGGACAAAUGGAGGCAUGGCCAAGGUGGGCAGGAAUGAGAAGGAGAAAGGCAUAGGCAGGAGGAAAUGGUAGGAUUUUAGGAAUGCAGGCUUGGCUUGGGCGGUACUUGGGGCUCUAUCAGGAAUCGCACGCACAACUCUAACCUGUUUGUGAAACUCUGCCUGCCCUGGCUGUGGCCGUGUUUUACAGUGCCCUUGUUGCUGUGCUCAGGAAGUGAAAGCCUCCCUAGGUUAUUUAUUGAAAGACUGGGAAUUCCCAAGUGAUGGAGAGCACAGCUUCAUGGCCUCAUGAGUCAGACCAUCCUGGAAUUCCCAACCCACCAGUGAGCAGCUAUUUGUGUUGCCAGAGGCUCCUGCCAGCCUCAGUUUCCUCGUUGGGAAGAGAAUAAAACUACUUGCCGAUGGACUCUGGUGAGGAUUAAAUGUAAAACAAAAGGCUUGGUUCACAGUAACACUUUGUCCUUGGGGUAUAUUUUUAUAAAUGUGCGUUUGGCUUUAAUUUGGCUUUAGACUUUCUAGGCUAUCAUCAACCGAUCAAUAUUUAUUACACACUCACUGGGUUUUAAAGGGGACCAGAAAGAGCUCUAAGAUCUGGAGUCACAGAUACAACAUACACAGGACAGAAAACCCCAUGAUCGGGGGCACACAACUCAUUCCUAGCACACAUCUGGAAAGGGUGUAGAAUUUGAGCUGAGUGCACAUUUGGGAUGGAACAGUAAAGUGACUUCCCCUUUUCCUGCUCUAAAUUUGGGAUAUUCCUUUCUUUAAUUUUAUGGACUUUUGUGUUUUUCAGCAGAGAGACCUAUAAUCCUACAGCAUGCACAAGAGAAGAUCAAGUCACUGCUCACAAAAUCAUAAAUCAAAGCCCUGAGGCCUGUCAGGACCUACCCACCUGUAUACCAGACCCCGGGGAUACCAGAGCUUCAGAUCCUUAUAUGAAAUGCUAUAGUAGCUGAUGUGGAGACUCCCAAAAGUAGUCCUAGUAUUUGGAAUCGGUGGCUACCCUGGGCAUCAAAGUGAAAUCUAGUUAUUUUCAAAAAACGUUAUAGUGGGUUUUUUUUAUAACUUAGCAAUGCUCUUAUGUACUUUAAAUCAUUUCUAACAUCAACUACAGUGCUUUAGAUCGUAUUGUAAUAUAAUAUAAUAUAAUAUAAUAUAAUAUAAUAUAAUAUAAUAUAAAUAUACAGUGUGAAUCCUAUGUAAGUCUCUGUCCCACUACAUCCCUUAGGGAUAUGACAAGGAAAAAUCUGGACGUAUUCAGGAUGGAUGCAGCCCUGGCAGGCCUGACCAUGUUUUCUGCCCACAGUUAGUUGAGUCUGAGUCCCACGUGCAGGAGGCUGGCUGUAUUUUUAAAACUGCCUUUGCCCUGAUGAGGAGUGUCCAGGGGAAGCGGUGACAGAGGCUGCAGGUGGCUCUGUGGCUUCUGGACAGGAGCAGCUGAGAGUUAGGAGUCUCUCCAGGCCAGGCCAAGCCACUAGGAGGAACCAAACCCGAGGGAGAAACCGCACCCAGGAGUUCAGAGACCUACGUCCUCUUCAGUGUGUAAAAUUUCAUCUUGUUCAAGACCAGCCUGACAACUUGGUAAUGACUAUAGCUGUGUUGGCACCUAGGGUUUCCUCAGGAGGUUUGUCCUCAAAGCGGACAUAAACCAGCCACGAGGCCUCCACCUCCAGCUCACUUUCCGGUUCCUGGAAUGAGUUUGGGACAAGCACAGCUUGGAGCGGCUGCCCUGAGAUUUUAUCAGACUUCUCAUGAAUUCCAUUCAGGCGGAAAGACACAGAGGAACACUCACUGUUGGGGUUCAUGGCCAAUGCAUUUCUGGGCCUGACAUCUUGUUGUCUUUACCCUGAGUUGGAAGCAAGUUGAGUCAACUAGUUUUCUGUUUGGUUCUUUACUAUGGUGAGUGACAAAGCAUCAGGAGGGAGCUCAAGGUUUCCCAGGCCCUGCUGGAGCUGGGGUGAGCAUUUACUGUCCGGCUCUCCUCUGAACCCCCUUGGCUAAAUGUCUCUCUACUGCAAGCCCAAAGUACAGGUGGAGGCGAUGGUGACCAGUGAGCUACAAGAAGCAGCAGCAGCCUGGCCCACUGUGCGCCCGCGGCAGUGACUCAGUGGUGAGGCACUGCAGCUGGCCUGCCGUGGCCUUGGGGGACCAGGGGUCUGCAUCUCACUCAGGUCCUGUCUGUUGGACUCUCACUCUCCUCUUCUGGGACUUGCUUAAGGGUGGUGGUGGAAUCCGUCCUCCAGUCUUCAUCAGUGAGGCUCAUGCAUCAUUGAAAAAAGCCAAGGAGAAUGUUAGGAAAACAAGUAUUGUAGGUACUUGUUCCUCCAUUCAUGGAUUUAUUCAUUCAUUACCACUCUUUUUUUUCCCCACACCAACUCUGUGUUAGAUGUUGAGGAUUAAAAGAUGAAUGAGAUUUGGUUUCCUGCCUUCUUAGGCUCCCCAUCUGAAUGGGAAGAUAGAUGCUUAUGCAAACAAUUGCAGAAACCUCGAUGCGUGAUAACAAGAGUGUGUGUUCCAGUGCCUGGAAAUGUCAUUCAGACGGCUGAUAUGGGAGCCAGGUCUUCCCACAGGAGUCAGGGCACCCGUGGGGUGGCGAGUUAUUUAGGAGAAAUUCGCCACUUGCCAAAAAGAACUUUGCCUGAGAGCCACAGUGAGGCUUGAAAGAUUUUAAGCAGUGAGUGAAAGGCAAAGAAUGAAACAUGGACAUUCAUUUGAAAUUCUAGUUUAUCAAGAGUGAAACUUUUCCCUGCUCUGCAUGCUGGGAGAUGCAUGCUUGUGCCAGGACACCCCCGUACUGUUUACAGAGCCUGCUCAGGCCACAGUGCUGGCUUUUACCAGGCCAUGCCAGGAAGGCAUUUGCUGUGGCUGAUUCACAAAGAGACUCUGGAAGUCUGCAUAUUUUCCAAAGUCUGCGCUGAUUCUUGCCCUUUGUACAGUCAAAUGUCCCUUGGAAAAUGAGAGGAAAGCGACAAACCAUCUUCCAAAAAUACAUUUACUUUUGCAUUAAAUUUCAGGAUUUCCAGAGGAACCCCCCUCAUCCGCUCAUCACUGUGAUGCGCUGGGCCAUUGAUGAGUUCCAGGUAAAGAUCUUCCCACCUUGCCUUAGGCUGUGAGUCAGGGAGUUGGUGAGACCCAGAUUAGGCAUAGAGCUGUUGGUCACCUGGCCUCAUGUGGACCCAAAGACUCCUGGGGAGAAAAUGUCCCAAGGUGGAACUGCGUUUUGCCAUGAUCCAGAUUCAGCCAUGCGCCAUGCUGACAGGUGCCUCUACCCUGGCUUACUGUGGCCCUGGUCCUGUCAAACGUAAAAGCAGCUUUUAAACUUGGUAGUUUUGCUGGCUAUCAAAGAAGCAGGGAGCUGCCAUGAAAUCAGUGAGUGGCAAACAUUUCUCGCCAGAUUAUUCUGAUUACAGUCAAGCACGAGGGCUGGUUUGUGUCCUCUCUUCUGAUUGAAUUGAUGCAUCAAGAGGGUUAGCAGGACUGAUCGUGACUGAGGCAACCCAAGGCCAGUCUCAGGUGGGAAGAGUGAGGACGACACGGUGUGUGGGGAGCAGCAGGCACUGAGUGUCCUGUACUUGGAGCCAGAGCUUUGAGAGGAAAUGGAGUCUGCAGUCAGAGAGCUUGGGCAGGGCCAGUGCUGGGGAGAAGCCAGUAAGGACCCUGCUGAGUACAUAAUGUAAGAAAGUGCCCCCAACUCACUAAUUGAAAUAAAUAACAUUUUUAGUACAAUUUUAAAAAAUUGAAUGCAAUGGAAAAAAUUUAUAAUGAAUACAGUUUCAGGAUUUGACACAACGGGAAUGCAACUCUGUCCUGGCAUAUUAUGCCUGCAGUGCUUCCUGGUCCCAGCCCUGAGUUUUGAAGCUGAGAAAUUCAUAUCCACAAAGUCUGCAGCUUGUGUUGGAGUAACACCUGUGAGUUUCAAUAAAAUCAGGACCUGGACAUUGGUGAUUAGCUUCUGCAGCUGUCAGGGCUGUUUCCCAGCAGUGUGAACACUACUCAGUUUCCCUGGAACUCCAGCCUGCCAGCCUUCCCAUCCGGUCCGAGAAAUGUAUGCUGUCAGUGUCCCAAAAAUUCCACAAGGUGGCACUCUUGCUCUAACCAGGUGCUGCUUUGAAGGAGCUUCUUAGCCAAACUAGUUAAAUUUAUGCUACAGUACUUGCUUAGUUGUUUGAGAGGCCACAAGGAAUCAGGAGCCGAUAUUGGGGUAAACAGUGCUGUGAUGUGGGGGAGGGCUGAAGAAACAUUCUGGAGCUCUUGGAGCAAGGUAGGACCUGAUUUGGGACCACAGCCCGUGCUGUUUUUCAGCAGGUGAUAACAAUGAAAAUCUUAAGCUUCUUUUCGUUCUUGAAUGCAAUUGAAGCACACGUGACAUGGGACAUAAAUAUGAGAUUAAUGGUUUUCUGCAAAGUAUAGCCUGGUGGUAACAGCUCAGGUACUUGAGUCAGAAAGACCUGGAACGUUGGCUCCUCUGCUGGGUAGUUGUGAUCUUGGAUGAAUGACUGUGCUUUGCUAAGUCUAAGAUUCUUUGUCUUUAACUGUGGAUUGCUGUAGCUACUUCCCUGGAGGGCUGCUGGUGGAUUAAAUAAACAGAUGCACAUAAA